rnacentral:rRNA from 1 species
AUUGAACGCUGGCGGCAUGCCUUACACAUGCAAGUCGAACGGUAACAGGUUAAGCUGGCGAGUGGCGAACGGGUGAGUAAUGUAUCGGAACGUGCCCAGUCGUGGGGGAUAACUGCUCGAAAGAGCAGCUAAUACCGCAUACGACCUGAGGGUGAAAGCGGGGGAUCGCAAGACCUCGCGCGAUUGGAGCGGCCGAUAUCAGAUUAGGUAGUUGGUGGGGUAAAGGCCUACCAAGCCUACGAUCUGUAGCUGGUCUGAGAGGAUGACCAGCCACACGGGGACUGAGACACGGACCUGACACCUACGGGAGGCAGCCGUGGGGAAUAUUGGGCAAGGGGGGAAACCCGGACCCAGCGACGCCGAGUGGGUGAUGAAGGCCUUCGGGUCGUAAAGCCCUGUCGGGAGGAACGAACGAUCUCGCGGUCAAUAGCCGCGGGAUGUGACGGUACCUCCGAAGGAAGCACCGGCCAACUCCGUGCCAGCAGCCGCGGUAACAC